rnacentral:rRNA from 1 species
AUGGAGGAUGCGAGGGGCUACCGGGGGAUACCGGCGUUCGGGCAAUGGAACUACGGCGGCGGCGACGACUGGUCUGUGCUCUCCCAGCGCUUCGAGUCUGCGAUGCACACCCAGUUGCCCGUACACAAACCCUGCAAGAGGGCGAGGGCAGGUCGCAGGAGGCGAGUCCCACCGUUCGGAGAGUGGAACAACCACAGCAACGGCGACGGCGAUGGCUGGACGGCGGCCGUCAACCAGUGUUUCGAGCCAGGCGUGGCACACAAAUCACUCAAGCAGGAGCUCACUGGUUACGACAAUGGCGUCGUCGCCAUGGGGAAGCAGCACAAAAUUGCGAGGCAAACCUGGGUGGAUGACUCAGGGCCCCACGUGGCAAUGGAGUCCUUCUUCUUCACGGCGGUCAAAGCUGUUGACGAUGACCUGUACGAGGUCCCACCGGACAUGCCCUGCGCCAAGCUUCUACGGAAGGGUAGGACGUGGCUGAGGAGCCUGCUGAUGAGGUGUUGCGGCAUCAACUGCUUUGCCUACUGA